rnacentral:rRNA from 1 species
CCUACGGGUGGCAGCAGUGAGGAAUAUUGGUCAAUGGACGAGAGUCUGAACCAGCCAAGUAGCGUGAAGGAUGACUGCCCUAUGGGUUGUAAACUUCUUUUAUAUGGGAAUAAAAUGUUCCACGUGUGGGAUUUUGUAUGUACCAUAUGAAUAAGGAUCGGCUAACUCCGUGCCAGCAGCCGCGGUAAUACGGAGGAUCCGAGCGUUAUCCGGAUUUAUUGGGUUUAAAGGGAGCGUAGGUGGAUUGUUAAGUCAGUUGUGAAAGUUUGCGGCUCAACCGUAAAAUUGCAGUUGAAACUGGCAGUCUUGAGUGCAGUAGAGGUGGGCGGAAGUCGUGGUGUAGCGGUGAAAUGCUUAGAUAUCACGAAGAACUCCGAUUGCGAAGGCAGUUCACUGGACUGCAACUGACACUGAGGCUCGAAAGUGUGGGUAUCAAACAGGAUUAGAUACCCGUGUAGUC